AGUGCAGCCUUUGUCCUCGUCGGGUUCUUUGAAGAUUGAGCUGAUAGAAGUCACAGUGUAAAUGGACUUAACUGCUGAGUGACCUUUGACAAAGCCAGGAUCUCGCUCUGGACAACCACCUGUGAGGGACUAAGAAAGCAGCUGAGACUGCUCCUGGGGUUUUAGGCAACAGGAAACUCUGGGAAGGAGGCUGAUGUCACCUGGCUGUUUGUUUCUGGAAGCAGAGAGCACAUUUUCAACAGGAUC